GUCAUGGAGAUUUUACAUCGACUGCCUCCUACCCCGUCGAGUCUAUCUGAUUCAGCUCAUCGGACCUGAGGAGUGGAUACUGAAAAUCUGCACCUUCUCCUCCUGACAGUCAUGAACAUCCAGAUGUUUCUUCUGUACAUCUGCAUUGUGCAGUUUGUUAGCUGUGAUGGCGUUUUCUCAAAAGAUCAUCCAAUAAAUGUAAAUACCACAGUGGGUUCCACAACACGCCUGCCUUGUAACUGUACCACUGAAACUGGUAAAACACGGUAUGUUCUGUGGAAGAAUAAUAUUGAAACAACAGUGUUUGAGCGAGUGGGUAAUGAGUCGUAUCCUGGUGAGGGAUAUGAGGGUCGUGUGGACGUUGCUGAGGACGAGCUGAAUAAAGGAAACUUUUCUCUGGUGUUGAAGAAUGUCAGAGUUAAUGAUACAGGUGAAUAUAGAUGCUACCUGGUGAAGAGAACAGGGAACUCCGUUACUGAACCGGAUUUGAUCCAGAUUGU